rfam:Myotis lucifugus cont2.50718, whole genome shotgun sequence.
AUCGAUUUUUGGCCUUUUGGCUAAGACCAAGUGUAGUGUCUGUUCUUAUCAGUUUAAUAUCUGAUAUGUCCUCUAUCUGAGGACAAUGUGUUAAAUGGAUUUUUGGGGCAUAGGAAAUGGAAUAGGAGCUUGCUUUGUCCACUCCAGCACUUCCAGGAACGGUGCACCCCCUUUAGGGGGGAGGGGAUUUUGA